rnacentral:rRNA from 1 species
GACGAACGCUGGCGGCAUGCCUAAUACAUGCAAGUCGAGCGAACAUUUAUAGAUUCUUGCUUCUUUAAAUGUUAGCGUCGGAUGUGUGAGUAACACGUGGGCAACCUGCCCUUCAGUUGUGUAUUACUCCGGGAAACCGUGGCUAAUACCUGAUAAUCAGUUUGUCCGCUUUUACAAACUCUAUUAGACGUCUUCUUCUUUCACUGCAGGAUUGGCCCGCGGGGCAUUAGCUAGUUGGUGGGCUAACGGCCUACCAAGGCAACGAUGCGUAGCCGACCUGAGAGGGUGAGCGGCCACACGGGAAGUGAGACACGGACAAGAGGCCUACGGGAGGAAGCAGUAGGGAAUAUUAGACAAUGGACGGAAGUAUGAUGGAGGAAAGCCGCGUGAGAGAAGAAGGUGUGCGGAUCGUAAAGAUAUGUUGUGAGGGAAGAAAAAGUACGGGAGGAAAUGAACGUAGAAUGACGGUAACGGAUUAGAAAGCAACGGCUAACUACGUG